AGUGAACGCUGGCGGUAGGCCUAACACAUGCAAGUCGAACGGCAGCACAGUAAGAGCUUGCUCUUACGGGUGGCGAGUGGCGGACGGGUGAGGAAUACAUCGGAAUCUACUUUUUCGUGGGGGAUAACGUAGGGAAACUUACGCUAAUACCGCAUACGACCUACGGGUGAAAGCAGGGGAUCUUCGGACCUUGCGCGAUUGAAUGAGCCGAUGUCGGAUUAGCUAGUUGGCGGGGUAAAGGCCCACCAAGGCGACGAUCCGUAGCUGGUCUGAGAGGAUGAUCGGCCACACUGGAACUGAGACACGGUCCAGACUCCUACGGGAGGCAGCAGUGGGGAAUAUUGGACAAUGGGCGCAAGCCUGAUCCAGCCAUACCGCGUGGGUGAAGAAGGCCUUCGGGUUGUAAAGCCCUUUUGUUGGGAAAGAAAAGCAGCAGGUUAAUACCCCGCUGUUCCGACGGUACCCAAAGAAUAAGCACCGGCUAACUUCGUG
rnacentral:rRNA from 1 species